CGUCGAGCUACUACGGUAGUGAAGUCAUUGAUGCCAUGCUUCCAGGAAAAGCCUCUAAGCUUCAGAUUGUAAGGAAUCGUACCCCAAACCGACACAGGUGGUCGGGUAGAGAAUACCAAGGCGCUUGAGAGAACUCGGGUGAAGGAACUAGGCAAAAUGGUACCGUAACUUCGGGAGAAGGUACGCUCUUGAUGGUGAAGUCCCUUGCGGAUGGAGCUGACGAGAGUCGCAGAUACCAGGUGGCUGCAACUGUUUAUUAAAAACACAGCACUGUGCAAAAUCGUAAGAUGACGUAUACGGUGUGACGCCUGCCCGGUGCCGGAAGGUUAAUUGAUGGGGUUAGCGUAAGCGAAGCUCUUGAUCGAAGCCCCGGUAAACGGCGGCCGUAACUAUAACGGUCCUAAGGUAGCGAAAUUCCUUGUCGGGUAAGUUCCGACCUGCACGAAUGGCGUAAUGAUGGCCACGCUGUCUCCACCCGAGACUCAGUGAAAUUGAAAUCGCUGUGAAGAUGCAGUGUACCCGCGGCUAGACGGAAAGACCCCGUGAACCUUUACUACAGCUUGGCACUGAACAUUGAACCUACAUGUGUAGGAUAGGUGGGAGGCUUUGAAGACGUGACGCCAGUUGCGUUGGAGCCGUCCUUGAAAUACCACCCUUGUAUGUUUGAUGUUCUAACGUUGGCCCCUAAUCGGGGUUGCGGACAGUGCCUGGUGGGUAGUUUGACUGGGGCGGUCUCCUCCCAAAGAGUAACGGAGGAGCACGAAGGUGGGCUAAUCACGGUUGGACAUCGUGAGGUUAGUGCAAUGGCAUAAGCCCGCUUAACUGCGAGAAUGACGGUUCGAGCAGGUGCGAAAGCAGGUCAUAGUGAUCCGGUGGUUCUGAAUGGAAGGGCCAUCGCUCAACGGAUAAAAGGUACUCCGGGGAUAACAGGCUGAUACCGCCCAAGAGUUCAUAUCGACGGCGGUGUUUGGCACCUCGAUGUCGGCUCAUCACAUCCUGGGGCUGAAGUCGGUCCCAAGGGUAUGGCUGUUCGCCAUUUAAAGUGGUACGCGAGCUGGGUUUAGAACGUCGUGAGACAGUUCGGUCCCUAUCUGCCGUGGGCGUUGGAAGAUUGAAGGGGGCUGCUCCUAGUACGAGAGGACCGGAGUGGACGAACCUCUGGUGUUCGGGUUGUGUCGCCAGACGCAUUGCCCGGUAGCUAAGUUCGGAAUCGAUAACCGCUGAAAGCAUCUAAGCGGGAAGCGAGCCCUGAGAUGAGUCUU
rnacentral:rRNA from 1 species